CACGUAGGGCGCAAGCGUUGUCCGGAAUUAUUGGGCGUAAAGAGCUCGUAGGUGGUUUGCUGCGUCCGCUGUGAAAACCCAAGGCUUAACCUUGGGCUUGCAGUGGAUACGGGCAGGCUGGAGGCAGGCAGGGGAGAACGGAAUUCCUGGUGUAGCGGUGAAAUGCGCAGAUAUCAGGAGGAACACCGGUGGCGAAGGCGGUUCUCUGGGCCUGUACUGACGCUGAGGAGCGAAAGCGUGGGGAGCGAACAGG
rnacentral:rRNA from 1 species